CCAAGGCCCAUCAGCUCUGAUCCUAGGACCAUCUGUCUCCUAUCGCCAAUUAACAUGGGGUCCUUACCCACUGUGAGGUCAUCAAGCUCAGGCAACACAGGCAGAGUCCAGCCAAUGGAGUUCAGCAGGGCAGUCACUUGGCCCAUGGUCACCAAGGGCUCUACACGAACAAUCUGUUGACACAAGAAAACAGAUCCUGGGUCAAAAGGAGGCAGCCAGGCCCAAGGCGGUGGGGGCUCCUGCACACAGAAGGAGAAAUACUCAUUCACUUAGAAGAUAUAGCAAAAGUAAAAAAGAAAACAAAUAUCACUCAUCCUGGCUGGGCAAGGUGGCUCACGCCUGUAAUCCCAGCAGUUUGGGAGGCUGAGUUUCUGACAGGCCCUUCAAAGGAGGCAACCAGACUAUGCAUCUAUCUCAGUGAGCAGAGGGAUGACUCUGAAGAGAAUGGGAGGCAGAGUCUCACUCUGUCACCCAGGCUGGAGUGUAAUGGCAUGGUAUCGGCUCACUGCCACUUCUGCCUCCCGGGUUCAAACAAUUCACCCACCUCAGCCUUCCAAGUAGCUACAGGUAUGUGCCACCACACCCAGCUAAUUUUUUUUUUUUUU